rnacentral:rRNA from 1 species
GAUGAACGCUGGCGGCGUGCCUAAUACAUGCAAGUCGAGCGAACGGACGAGAAGCUUGCUUCUCUGAUGUUAGCGGCGGACGGGUGAGUAACACGUGGAUAACCUACCUAUAAGACUGGGAUAACUUCGGGAAACCGGAGCUAAUACCGGAUAAUAUUUUGAACCGCAUGGUUCAGAAGUGAAAGACGGUCUUGCUGUCACUUAUAGAUGGAUCCGCGCUGCAUUAGCCAGUUGGUAAGGUAACGGCUUACCAAGGCAACGAUGCAUAGCCGACCUGAGAGGGUGAUCGGCCACACUGGAACUGAGACACGGUCCAGACUCCUACGGGAGGCAGCAGUAGGGAAUCUUCCGCAAUGGGCGAAAGCCUGACGGAGCAACGCCGCGUGAGUGAUGAAGGUCUUCGGAUCGUAAAACUCUGUUAUUAGGGAAGAACAUAUGUGUAAGUAACUGUGCACAUCUUGACGGUACCUAAUCAGAAAGCCACGGCUAACUACGUG